CUCCGCCGCCGCCGCCGGGGCAAAGGGCGAGCCCGGAGCCCGCGGGUGCCCCCGGCUCCAGCGCGGGGAGACCGCUUCUGGCCCCGCGCAGCGGAUCCUGGAAAACAGGAGGAAGACGAGGAGGAAAGGGUGUGGAGGAAGCCGGGCCACGGUCUGGGGAGCAAACUUCCCCCGUCGAGACGGAAAAAAAAAAAAAUAGAAAGAAACCCCGAGACAAAGGAUCCCCAAGACACGCGCGGUUCUUUCAACAGAUGAUUUGAGAAUGAAACUUGAUAAUCCGUUCAUGCUGCUCGCAAAGAAAGAUGACACGAGGGAUCUCAGUGGCAGGAGUGAUGAACCAAGACUACGAGCUGCCAGCUGUCCCUCCAUCACAACAGAAGUUCUCCUGCUCCUUUCCACCGUGGGCCACGCUUUGCCUUUUCCCCACACCAAGCGGUUUCCCCACCCAAACAGCAUUCAGAGACGUUCUUUGAGCUGAUCCAUCUCCCAGGUACCUCCAGCCUCCCAUGGCUCCAUCCAGCUGGCUCCCAGGAUGACCCAGCCAAGGCAGCCCAGCUCCUCCCUUGCCUGGGCAUGGCAAUCACACCUGAGCUGCUCCCACAGCUCCAGGCUCUACUCAGGACCCACCACACCCACUCCAAAGAGUCCCUGUGGCACAGUGGGAAGCACAGAAGGGUGGGAAUGUCGGCUGAGCUGCGGGACGAACCCCAAAUUCCACCACUGCCAACAAGAGCUCCAACAAAGCGCGGAGCUUUGCCAGCAUGAAAUCCCAUUUCCUGACCAGCCCCAAGUACUGUGUGAAAAUUUUAUUUUCUCUGAAAACUCUAUCACUCUCUUAAAUCCUCUGGAAUUUUUUUCCACCGCAAAGAACAAAGCUUUAGAUAAAAGCAUCUGACCAGCCACAGCAAAAAUACAGUAAAAGGCCAUGAAAAAGGAGCUGUCAACUUUCAUGCCCAAAUAUAUUCUAUUUAAAUGCAACUUAAAAAAGAACAGCUAGGCGAAAAGGCAGCAAUAAAUUAAGGCUUUUCUUCUUCUUCUAAUUCAGUUGAAAGGUCAUAUGAUGUUAGGUUUUUACAAGUCCUAAUUAAUUUCUUUCUAUGAAAUAAACAAUUAACUGAAAACUGACCAGAAACUUUUAAAUCAAAAUGCUUCAGGAAAAAGUG